rnacentral:lncRNA from 1 species
GAUGUUAAUGUGUUUAUAGUAGAUAACGUGGACAAACUCUCUGUUUUGAUUCUAUAAAUCUAUACAACAAUAUGUGAACUUGGACUCAUGUUACUAAAAUUAUACCAUAAAACGUGGACACGAACUCUGUUAUCUCCAACACAAGCACGUGACUUCUUCAGUUCAAUUGAUAAAUUAUCUGCAAUUAAACUUCAAUCAAGAUGAGAAAGAGAUGAUAUUGUGAGUAUGAGCGGAGAGAAAAAUCGAAGAAGCGUUUACCUUCUGUCGAAGAGUAAC